UAUGAUGUACUCCAGACUCAUAAAGGAGUGUGUGUCUCGAUGGCCACUGCCUACGAAGGCGUCUACCUUGAGACAUACAACCUGGAGAUGGACCUGGGGUCUAAUCUGAGAACAUUCCUCAAUUCAUCCCCCUGGAGAGGCUGGUCAAGCAGAGCAACAUGCAGACAGACGUCAGGGCUUUCCUGGAUACCCUCAGCCAGUAUCUCAAUGCCUACGUUGGCCGCAAGCAGCAGCUGCACCUCAUCAAGGAGCUUCAUAGCUCUGUUCAGGUGAUGGAGAGCAAUACUCUCUAUACUAUACUAUACUAUACUGGUGCUGAUGUUCACUAUACCAGGAGAGAAGGCCAGGGCUGCAUUGUGCACACUGGAGUAUGCUGACCACACACGAUGUCUGCCCAACCGGGUCAACAUGGAGUCUGAAGACAUCGUGCUGGCCAAUUCUCCACAAUGGAAGAAGAACCACGCCCUACUCCUGGAGACCCCGGUACACACAGCCUUGGUGACCAUUAAGAAGACAGGCAGUAUCGCUUAGUCUGAACACACAGUAUCCUGUAAAUACACUCAAGACUGAACAGUUGUUUAUGUCAAUGUAUGAAGUUUGUUUUACAUUUGUUUUUUAUACUAAUUUAAUUAAGCCAGUCACUAUGUAG